CAACCACGCUUCCUCCUCAGGCACUGAUACAGGCAGAGUGAACACAUCAGCAAAAGAGGAUGACAAUCAGCAAAAGAAAAGAGAACUACGAUUCAUACACUGGAAACAAUGUGUACGUCAAGAACGAAAAUGAAUAGUUUGGGUUACCCAUGAAGAGCUGCAGGCCAAUGAGGGCAAACACACUGAGGCAGAACACGGUCAGGAUCAUCACGUCUGCCAGCUUCUUCACCGACUGGAUCAGCGCACCCACAAUGGUCUUCAGGCCUGCMCAAGGUCAAUAGAUGUCUAUGGUGUUGGCUCAAGAUGUCCAUGGUGUUGGCUCAAGAUGUCCAUGGUGUUGGCUCAAGAUGUCCAUGGUGUUGGCUCAAGAUGUCCAUGGUGUUAGCUCAAGAUGUCCAUGGUGUUAGCUCAAGAUGUCAAUGGUGUUAGCUCA